rnacentral:misc_RNA from 1 species
GAUGAAGAACGUAGCGAAAUGCGAUAAGUAAUGUGAAUUGCAGAAUUCAGUGAAUCAUCGAAUCUUUGAACGCACAUUGCGCCCCUUGGUAUUCCGAGGGGCAUGCCUGUUCGAGCGUCAUUAUAACCCCUCAAGCUCAGCUUGAUGUUGGGGCCUGCUGCACUGGCAGCCCUUAAAAUCAGUGGCGGCGCCAUCUGGCUCUAAGCGUAGUAAUUCUUCUCGCUAUGGAGUCCUGGUGGAUGCUUGCCAUCAACCCCCCAUUUUUCUAUGGUUGACCUCGGAUCAGGUAGGGAUACCCGCUGAACUUAAGCAUAUCAAUAAGCGGAGGA